rnacentral:rRNA from 1 species
AUUGAACGCUGGCGGAAUGCUUUACACAUGCAAGUCGAACGAUGAACCUUAGCUUGCUAGGGGGAUUAGUGGCGAACGGGUGAGUAACAUAUCGGAACGUACCUAGUAAUGGGGGAUAACUAGUCGAAAGAUUAGUUAAUACCGCAUACGCCCUGAGGGGGAAAGCAGGGGAUCUUCGUACCUUACGUGAUUAGAGAGGCCGAUAUCUGAUUAGCGAGUUGGUGGGGUAAGGGCCUACCAAGGCGACGAUCAGUAGCUGGUCUGAGAGGACGACCAGCCACGCUGGAACUGAGACACGGUCCAGACUCCUACGGGAGGCAGUAGUGGGGAAUUUUGGACAAUGGGGGCAACCCUGAUCCAGCCAUUCCGCGUGAGUGAAGAAGGCCUUCGGGUUGUAAAGCUCUUUCGCAAGGGAAGAAAACUUACAUUCUAAUAAAGUGUGAGGCUGACGGUACCUUGAUAAGAAGCACCGGCUAACUACGUGCCAGCCGCCGCCGUAA